AGGUGCUUUGUCCUUUACAAAGAACUUUGGGGUUUAUGUGCUACUUUACAGUAUACAAAGCUCCUUGCCCUUGACAAAGGACUGUUGCAUAUAUGGUGUGUUUAGGCUUUAGAAAGUACUUUGCAAAGGGCACCACUGUUUACAAGAUGCUUACCAUUUAUAAAGUGCUACCAUUUACUGUGCACUCUGAAUUUUCAAGGUAUUUUACUUUACAAAUUGCUUUACUGUUUGCUAGGGACACUGCUGC
rnacentral:lncRNA from 1 species